rnacentral:rRNA from 1 species
GACGAACGCUGGCGGCGUGCUUAACACAUGCAAGUCGAACGAAGUGGCGAACGGGUGAGUAACGCGUAAUCAACCUGCCCUUCAGAGGAGGACAACAGGGGGACACGUCCGCUACUACCGCAUACUGCAGGCAGGGAUUGCGGCUGAUUAGCUAGUUGGAGGGGUAACGGCCCACCAAGGCGAUGAUCAGUAGCCGGUAGGAGAUGAUGAACGGCCACAUUGGGACUGAGACACGGCCCAGACUCCUACGGGAGGCAGCAGUGGGGAAUCUUCAGCAAUGGAGGAAAGUCUGACGGCGCAACGCCGCGUGAGUGAUGACGGACUUCGGGUUGUAAAGCUCUGUUAAUCGGGACGCGGUACCGGAAUAGAAAGCCACGGCUAACUACGUGCCAGCAGCCGCGGUAAUUC